GUAAAGGCGUUGAAGAAGAGGAGUAUGUAUCAUUCCCUGUCAGAGAGAACUGUCCGCAGGCUGGAAGGCAGUUUCAGAAUCAGAAGAUACAGAAGGUAGCUUUGGAUGCCGGAUAUCUGAACCGACAGAUUACGAACUGGUCAGCAGAUUUAGAGAUCAGAGGAACAAGUAGGAUAUCCCGGAGUCAUUCCCGUUAAAGAAUAAGAUGAGAGAUAUGGAAGAGUUUCUUCUAUAUAAUAAAGGUGGUACCGCGGUUACAGUCGCCCUUUAC
rnacentral:ncRNA from 1 species